rnacentral:rRNA from 1 species
GACGAACGCUGGCGGCGUGCUUAACACAUGCCAGUCGAACGGAAAGGCCCUGCUUUUGUGGGGUGCUCGAGUGGCGAACGGGUGAGUAACACGUGAGUAACCUGCCCUUGACUUUGGGAUAACUUCAGGAAACUGGGGCGAAUACCGGAUAGGAGCUCCUGCUGCAUGGGGGGGGUUGGAAAGUUUCGGCGGUUGGGGAUGGACUCGCGGCUUAUCAGCUUGUUGGUGGGGUAGUGGCUUACCAGGGCUUUGACGGGUAGCCGGCCUGAGAGGGUGACCGGCCACAUUGGGACUGAGAUACGGCCCAGACUCCUACGGGAGGCAGCAGUGGGGAAUAUUGCACAAUGGGCGGAAGCCUGAUGCAGCAACGCCGCGUGCGGGAUGACGGCCUUCGGGUUGUAAACCGCUUUCGCCUGUGACGAAGCGUGAGUGACGGUAAUGGGUAAAGAAGCACCGGCUAACUACGUG